rnacentral:rRNA from 1 species
GAUGAACGCUGGCGGCGUGCUUAACACAUGCAAGUCGAACGGAAAGGCCCAAGCUUGCUUGGGUACUCGAGUGGCGAACGGGUGAGUAACACGUGGGUGAUCUGCCCUGCACUUCGGGAUAAGCCUGGGAAACUGGGUCUAAUACCGGAUAGGACGAUGGCUUGGAUGCCAUUGUGGAAAGUUUUUUCGGUGUGGGGUGAGCUCGCGGCCUAUCAGCUUGUUGGAGGGGUAAUGGCCUACCAAGGCGUCGACGGGUAGCCGGCCAGAGAGGGUGUACGGCCACAUUGGGACUGAGAGACGGCCCAGACGCCUACGGGAGGCAGCAGGGGGGAAUAUUGCACAAUGGGCGCAAGCCUGAUGCAGCGACGCCGCGGGGGGGAUGACGGCCUUCGGGUUGUAAACUCCUUUCGCUAGGGACGAAGCGUUUUGUGACGGUACCUGGAGAAGAAGCACCGGCUAACUACGUG